UACGGAGGACCCAAGCGUUACCCGGAUUUACUGGGCGUAAAGAGUCGCGUAGGCGGUUUGUUAAGUGAGGAGCGAAAACUAACGGCUCAACUGUUAGAAGUUUUCUCAAACUGGCAGACUAGAGGAUAGUAGGGGCGAGUGGAAUUUGUGGUGUAGGGGUGAAAUCCGUAGAUACCACAAGGAACACCAAUGGCGAAGGCAGCUCGCUGGACUAUUCCUGACGCUAAGGCACGAAAGCGUGGGUAGCAAACCGG
rnacentral:misc_RNA from 1 species